rnacentral:pre_miRNA from 1 species
CUUGUACUCCCUCCGUCCGAAAAUACUUGUGAUUGAAAUGGAUGUAUCUAGAUGUAUUUUAGUUCUAGACACAUCCAUUUUGAUGACAAGUAAUUCCGGACGGAGCGAGUACUUG